AUAAAUCUAGAAGGUCUUAAAGACCUUUCUAACAUCUUGUGAAAAGUUCAUGUCUCUGGCAGGCUCUGUCUGCCGCCUACACUUUGUAUUAACAUUCGUCUUAAAAAAUUAUAAAAGUAAUUAAAA
rnacentral:misc_RNA from 1 species